rnacentral:rRNA from 1 species
AGUGAACGCUGGCGGCAUGCCUAACACAUGCAAGUCGAACGGCAGGACAGUAAGAGCUUGCUCUUACGGGUGGCGAGUGGCGGACGGGUGAGGAAUACAUCGCAAUCUACUUUUUCGUGGGGGAUAACGUAGCGAAACUUAUGCUAAUACCGCAUACGAUCUACGGGUGAAAGCAGUGGAUCUUCGCACUUUGCGCGACUGAAUUAGCCGAUGUCGGAUUAGCUAGUUGGCGGGGUAAAGGCCCACCAAGGCGACGAUCCGUAGCUGGUCUGAGAGGAUGAUCGGCCACACUGGAACUGAGACACGGUCCAGACUCCUACGGGAGGCAGCAGUGGGGAAUAUUGGGCAAUGGGCGCAAGCCUGAUCCAGCCAUACCGCGUGAGUGAAGAAGGCCUUCGGGUUGUAAAGCCCUUUUAUUGGGAAAGAACAGCAGCGGGUUAAUACCCCGCUGUUCUGACGGUACCCAAAGAAUAAGCACCGGCUAACUUCGUG